AGGUAAGAUGACCGAGCGUAAGGUGGCGGUUUGUAGCCCCGAUCACAGAGGUUCAAAUCCUCUUCUUGCCA
rnacentral:tRNA from 1 species